GCAUCCGUAGAUCAGCUGGAUAGAGUACUCGGCUACGAACCGAUCGGUCGGAGAUUCGAAUCCUCCUGGAUGCACCA
rnacentral:tRNA from 1 species